AAAGAAGCUCUAUAUACACUGUUUUCUUUCUUGUGAACUAAAUUACAAGCUAUAUAUCCAUUAUCAAAAGAAAGAACAUCACUGUGACAUUUUGGUAGAAAGGCUAGUGUAUCUCUUUCUCAUGUUAUGCUAAUAGUUUUCCUUGCAAAUCAUUUUGGCAAGCUACUUCCAGGUUCUCAGCACAAUGGAAGGGAGAAAGAUCAACUGUGAAUAAAGUUCCUCCUAUUCUCUGCACACAACCUUGGCUCCAUUAAUGUGAGUAAGAAAACAUAGACUUUUUUGUUGAUCGAAGUUCUACCUGUUUACUCCUUUGAAAGUAUUGAUGUAUAUGUUGAGUUCACAAUUCCCACCACUUAGAAUUUUCACAUGACAGAUCGAAGGAAUCACCUGGGCCUACAGCAUACCAGUGUUCAGGUGAUCCUAAGGAACUGUCUCCUAAUUCCUCCAUGUUCCAAAACUCUUCUUCUUCCUUCCACCUCAAGUGUUCAAAUAAUGUUCCUUCUCGGUCACUAUCCGUUCCCUUAAUCCUGUUGUGGUCUAAACUCGUAUUUAUGCAAACUGGGAUAUUGUUCUUCACAUCUACUUCUGCUUCUAUAUUUUCUGAGCUUGUAUAGAUUUCACUGUCUAUAGAAUCUUGGCUUCUGCUACAACCAGCAUGGUUGUUUUCCAUCUGAUCACUUAGUUCCUGUAGCUGCUUGAGCAAAGAUUCCUUUUCUUUCUUCAACGAUUCAAACUUCAUAGCUAAAUUGUCGAAUUCAUCUUUGAGUCGUCUAUAUUCAUGCUCUAAUUGCUUUGUUUUCCAUCUUGCCCUUCUGUUCUGGAACCAAAUCGCAACUUGACGUGGUUGCAGCCCAAGAUCUCUGGCCAAUUCAAGCUUUUUGCUAGGUUCAAGCUUUGUCUUUUGAUUAAACAUGGACUCAAGUACCUUCACUUGUUCAUCACUAAACCUUUUACCAUCUUCAUGACUCUUCUUCUUUGAACACUCAACUGGACUACUAUCUUCUGCUACUUCCAUAACUUUAUUGAAUGGGAUAAGAAAUAAGAGUUUUU
rnacentral:misc_RNA from 1 species